rnacentral:rRNA from 1 species
GAUGAACGCUGGCGGCGUGCCUAAUACAUGCAAGUCGAGCGAACAGAUGAGGAGCUUGCUCCUCUGACGUUAGCGGCGGACGGGUGAGUAACACGUGGAUAACCUACCUAUAAGACUGGGAUAACUUCGGGAAACCGGAGCUAAUACCGGAUAAUAUAUUGAACCGCAUGGUUCAAUAGUGAAAGACGGUUUUGCUGUCACUUAUAGAUGGAUCCGCGCCGCAUUAGCUAGUUGGUAAGGUAACGGCUUACCAAGGCAACGAUGCGUAGCCGACCUGAGAGAGUGAUCGGCCACACUGGAACUGAGCCACGGUCCAGACUCCUACGGGAGGCAGCAGUAGGGAAUCUUCCGCAAUGGGCGAAAGCCUGACGGAGCAACGCCGCGUGAGUGAUGAAGGUCUUCGGAUCGUAAAACUCUGUUAUUAGGGAAGAACAAAUGUGUAAGUAACUAUGCACGUCUUGACGGUACCUAAUCAGAAAGCCACGGCUAACUACGUG